ensembl:lncRNA
CCAGGGCUGACUGUAUUACUCGAAAUAAUAGUGUUUUCUCUAAUGAAUGCUUACUAGUUUCUAGGCAUUCUACUUUAUAUUAUUGAUAUUAAUAAUUGAAAUAACUAUUAAUCGAUAUUACAAUUAAAGGCACUAUCGCAUUGAAUCCCCAUAAGAACUUACUGCCAUAGAUACUUAGUAUUUGCUGGGGAGGAAAUAAAAGCACGUAAACAUGCCAACUUGCUUAAAGUCACACAGUGAGUAAAUGGCAGAACUGAGAUUCAAAUUCAGGACAGUCUGAUGUCAACGCUUAUAAGCUUGACCACUAUAGGACAUUGUUUACAGGCUCACACGGAGCUGCUUGGUCUUGGCACCUGGAUAGACUCAGACCUCCAGACCCUCCUAAAGUCCCCACUGGUCCUGGCAGGUGAAACAUUUACUCAUAGCUAAUGCUUCUCCUCUAGUCCACAAGUGGAAGCCAGUCAAGUCCUCUAUGUCCAACCCUCUGAACUCCAUACCUUUGUUAGAAAUAUAUCUGCUCAAAUCUCAGGUGUCCCUGGCUUCCCAGCCCUCUUGAACAGGAGUCCAGUACUGGCAGCCUCUUCUAACUGCACAGAAUGUCCAAAGGCAUCAGUUUGCUUUUUAGCAAGUCUGACUAAUUCCCAUGCAAUUGUUGAAUUGUUGUGCGCUCUCCUCCAGGAAGCCUGUCAAGGGAUUUUCUGCACAACAAUCACCGGUGGGAAUGCAUUUCCAAUUCUUGCCAACUUUAACUAGUAGCAAUUUUCUAUUUAUAUCUAACCCAGAGAUUUCUUGAAUUGAUUUUAGCCCAAUUCCUCCUAAUGCCACUUUGCUAAGAGAAUGAAGACUGCUGAUCUUCAUUUCCCCUUCUUCCUUUAUACAGUUGAAAAUCUCAGUUUCUUUUCCUUUACUACAUUAAGAAAAUAAUAGUGUCAUAAGGCGUCUUACUAUGCUUCACUUUAUUGUACAUCACAGUUACUGCUUUUGUUAUGAAUUGAGGUUUGUGCCAACCCUGAGUCAAGCAAAUCUAUUGGCACCAUUUCCCCAGUAGCAUUAUUUUUAAAAUUAGGGUAUAUGCAUUGGUUUUUCAAGACAUAAUGCUAUUGCAUAUGUACUAAGCUACAAUGUACUGUAAAUAUAACUUCUGUAUGCACUAGGGAACCGAAAAGAAUCAUGUGACUCACUUUGUUACCUUGGUCUGGAUCUGAACUCACAAUGUUUCUGAGGUAUGCCUGUAAUUUUCUCUUCAAGCUAGUCUUCUCUUUUAGGGGGCUGUUAGUUUUCGAUGGCUGCAAUAACAAAUUACCACAAACUUUGUGGCUUAAAGAGCAUUAAUUUAAAAGCAAAUAUUUCUUUUAAAAUAAAGAAAUGGUUAUUUAAGAAUAAAAGGUACUCUCUUACUGUUUUGGAAGUCUGAAGUCUGAGAUUUAUUUCACUGAGCUAGAGUCAAAUCUGUUCCCUCUGGAAGUUCUGAGAAAGAGAAUGUGUUUCCUGGCUCUUUUCCGCUUCUAGUGGCUUCCAGCAGCAUCCUUCUAGCAUAUUUAAAGUCCAUCACUCUAAUCUCUGCUUCCAUCUUUUCCUCUAACUUUGGGUCCUCCUGUGUCCCUCUCAUCCUUGUGAUUACUUUGGGCUCAUCUAGAGAAUCGAGGUGGAGAAGGAAACGGCACCCCACUCCAGUACUCUUGCCUGGAAAAUCCCAUGGGCGGAGGAGCCUGGUGGGCUGCAGUCCAUGGGGUCGCGAAGAGUCAGACAUGACUGAAGUGACUUAGCAGUAGCAGUAGCAGAGAAUCGAGGAAAAUCUCUCCCUCUCAAAAUCCUUAAUGACUUCAGCAGAUUCCUUUUGCCAGGAAAGGUAGCCUUGACAGGUUUCAAGGAUUAGGAUGUGGACAUCUUUGGGAGGCAUUAUUCAUCCUCCUACAAAUUCAGACAUCCAGGCUGGAAGAAUCUUGUUUUUGGCAGAAUGUCUCAUGAUAAUUCUAUUUUGUCAGGGGCUAAUUUCCACUAAUUACCUUAUUCUCCAGAAAGUUAUGUUCCACAAAAUUAUGCAUAGUGUAGAGAUAAUUAAGAAGACAAAACAAAUUUGAGUUUAAUACUAUCAACCUGAGGCUAAGUAAAUUUUUGGAGGAAUCUACUCACCCACAUGAAGGGUACUCUAUCUCUCUAACAUGCCAUGAGAGUUUUCAGAAUUUUCCUAAAUGGCAUCCUAGUCCUUAGGUCCUAUGCAGAUGAUCUAAUCUCAUCAUUUCAGCUUUAGCAUGUGGAGCAUAAAGAUUAGAUUUUAUAAAUGACUUUUUCAAGUUCUCAUAAUUAGUAAGUGAAGAACUCCAGGUCAGAAAUUAGAUUCCCAAGUUCCCAGUUCAGAGGUCCUUAUUUUUCACCUUGCUAAUGUGAAUUUUCCUUAAGGGGAAUUAUUCAUUCUUCAUUCAUUCACUUAAACAAUACUAAGUACUUCUGUGCAGAUAAUUUUGCUCAGUUUUGGAAAUAAGUCUAAUCUCUUUGGAGACAGAGAACACAAAUGGACCUGGGUUCAGAUGAUGUUUCUGUGAUGUACUUGCUGUGUGGCUGAGGGUAAGUUGCUUAGCUCCGUUAAGCCUUGGUUUUCUAAUGUAUAAAAUGGGAGAACAAUGACACCUGCCUACAUUGAUAAAUAUAUCUUUGGUUGCAUGAAACAGAAAAAUUCAAAUAAAAUUAUUUAAACAAUAAAUUGCAAGACUAAAUGUAGUUUCAGGCAAGGUUUGAUCUAGCAUCUCAAAGCCCUGGUUUUCUCUCUUUAUUUCUCACCUCUAUGUGUUCAGCAUUAGCUUUCAUCUUGGAAGUAUAUCCCCUUAAUUGUCCAGAAUGGCUUACAACAUAUAAUGAGACCAUAUGCUCCAUGUUCAAGUCCUACAGGGAAGAAGGGCACCAUGUCUCCACAUUCCUGGCAAGUCCCUGAGGUUUCUUCCGACUGUACUGCUCAGAUCUCAUCUGCCUGUGAACCAGUCUCUGUGAUGGUGGUGGUGGGGAGCAAAUACUGGUGAUGAAGUCAGUCAAGAUCAACUUUCAGACCUGGGGCUGAAGCCAGUGCCACAGAAUCACAUGGGGGAAGAUGACAAGGAGGCGUGGUUUCUCAAGGGAAAUUCAGAGCACUGUUACCAGGAGGCAGAGGGAAAUGAACGCUGGGCGGUCAGCAGCAGGUGUGUUCAAUCAACUUUUCUCAGUGUUUUUGGCAGGGUUAAAUGUGAUAAUAAAUGUAAAGCAUGUAACAGCAUGCUUGGCACAGAGGAGAUGCCCAGUUAGUAUGAGCUUAGUAUUUCAGUUAUUAUUUCACAACUUCAUGUGGGCACGUGUGUGUGUGUGUGUGUGUGUGUGUGUGUGUGUGUGUGGUCUUCCCAGGUGGCUCAGUGGGUGAAGAACCCUCCUGCAAUGCGGGAGAUUCAGGUUCAGUCCCUGGGUUGGGAAGAUCCUCUGGAGAAGGGCAUGGCAACUCACUCCAGUGUUCUUGCCUAGAGAAUUCCAUGGACAGAGGAGCCUUGUGGGCUACAGUCCAUAGGGUCAGAAAGAGUCACACGACUGAAUCAACUGAGUAUACAUGAAUGCGCACACACACACACACACACACACACACAAACACACAGAUAUUGCUGACUGGUUUAGAAGUGGACGAGAUCUGAGCAGUACAACAGAGAAACCUCAGAAAUUAUAUCUUUCUCCCCUCAAAAAUAUGUAUAUAGAGUAGAAGUAGAAAGUACAGGUCGGAGAAGGCGAUGGCACCCCACUCCAGUGUUCUUGCCUGGAAAAUCCCAUAGACAGUGGAGCCUGGUGGGCUGCAGUCCAUGGGAGUCGCUAAGAGUCAGGCACAACUGAGCAACUUCACUUUCACUUUUCACUUUCAUGCAUUGGACAAGGAAAUGGCAACCCACUCCAGUGUUCUUGCCUGGAGAAUCCCAGAGAGAGAGGAGCCUGGUGGGCUGCCAUCUGUGGGGUCACACAGAGUCAGACACGACUGAAGUGACUUAGCAGCAGCAGCAGCAGAAAGUACAGGUAAGCAAAAGGAGAAACCAGGCUAACUCCAGGGACUAGAUACAAGAUUGUUCCUCCUUCUGCUUUUUGACUUAACUCUGGCUUCUUCAGAGGAAAGGCCUUUUUCCCUGCUUACGUCGUCAACAAUUCUAGCCAAGAGAAGAUCUUUCAUUCAUAUCGGAUCUGUGAUAAUGCAGAACGGAGGAGCUCCCUCAUUGUAGUAAGAUCUGUGAUGCCAGAGAGGGGAGAAAGCUGAUUUCUUUGGAGAUAUUAAGUGCCCUCCUAUGAAAUGUUUCUUCCGCCACUGUAACUGAACUGACAAAGGACAGUGCCAGGACGUGCAUAAGAAAAUUCAGUAAUUAAUCUUUGGAGACACCUAUGCAAUGGAUCCUGGAGAAGGCAAUGGCACCCCACUCCAGUAUUCUUGCCUGGAAAAUCCCAUGGGUGGAGGAGCCUGAUAGGCUGCAGUCCAUGGGGUCGCUAAGAGUCGGACACGACUGAGCGACUUCACUUUCACUUUUCACUUUCAUUCAUUGGAGAAGGACAUGGCAACCCACUCCAGUGUUCUUGCCUGGAGAAUCCCAGGGAUGGGGGAGCCUGGUGGGCUGCCGUCUGUGGGGUCGCACAGAGUCGGACACGACUGAAGCGACUUAGCAGCAGUAGCAGCAGCAGCAUGCAAUGGAUCCAAUUCAAGAUAAGGCGGAUUCUUUACUGCUGAGCCACCGGGGAAGACCUCAGACAGAGAUGCGGCCUUCCUCAAAAGUAUCCUCAGCAACAAUGGAAUCCAUGGAAGCUUUAGCUGCAAGAGAGGCUGUAAAUACAAGUUCCUGGCCUUUUCAGUUUCUGCGGUUCUAUGGGGGAACCAAGGACUGCUGACAGAUGAUGGCUGAUGAAACAGAAGUUUUGGUCACAAUCAACGUGUUGCCUUGAUUUUCUUUUAAAAUUUCCUGUGCCAGCAAUCAAGUAUUGUUCAGUAUCAUAAAUAAAGUUGUCUCCGCUGGAAAGCUUCUGAAGGCCUAGAGAGAAAAGAAGAGCUGCCGGGUAUACCCAGUCAGAAUGAGAAGGGUCCUGGCAGCACUGAUUUCCCAAUUUCCUGUACCACAGACCCCUUCUCAUUUGGACUGUUCCACAGAGUAAGUGAUGAUGCUGUCAGCUGAGAGACUAUGGUACCUUAUGGGAGACAGAAACAGAGGUGGGUUGGCAGUGCGCCUGGAAAAGCCAUGUGGUCCUGACUGGGUUUGCAGGUCUGCCUAUAAAUGAACCCACGGAAAUGCUCAUAGGGUUUGGAGGUCUUUGUCAGAGGCUGAGGUUCUUGCAUGACUGGCCAUCAUCAAGGACGAGGAUGGAAAUUUUUAUUAUUGCUAUUAAUGUAGUGUCACUUACACUCACCAGCUGUGGAAGUAUAUGUGUGUACGUGUGUGUGUGUGUGCGCACGUGUGCAUGUGUAUUAUUAUUCAAACUCAAGGAUAUGCAGUUGGCACUUCAUAUGUCCUUAGGGGUUGGAGGCUCUCAGCUCCUCUGGUGCUUACUUGAAAUACAUUUGGGGCAGUAUGUGUGGGUGACUUUCCAGUUGGCUUCCCAGAAGGAAGAAAACAGCUCAGAACACUUGUUAGUGCAAAGGUUUGAAUGCGCUAGAGGCAAGAUCAUUAAGGAUCUCCAGGCAAGCACAGAGAAGAGUAAUCGAGAGAAGCCAAGUGAAAAGAAUGUGGGAAGAGAGGAAAGGAAGUGUCAUAACUCAAAGAUGUUGGCUGGGCCUUGUUUAGUUGACAGAAGGAUUGAGUCAAUAACUAGAAAGGAUGGGAUGAGUUGUAGCCAAAGGAAAUAUCACUCGGACCUCUGUCAGGAUGUCCAGAGUGAGUGAUUUAUUAAACUGGGAGCACAGAAAGUGAGCCAUCUAAUGUGUUAGGGGUGAACAUUCUCCUGAUGGUCAUCAGAAAUCAGCAGACUGAGGGUCUGGUUAAGAAAACACCUUUGUUAAGUCUCUGUUGCUUCUAUUGGGCUCCCCUGGCGGCUCAGUGGUAAAUGAAUCUGCUUGUAAUGCGGGAGACCCGGUCUGAUCCUUAGGUCAGGAGGAUCCCCUGGAGAAGGGAAUGGCCACCUAGUUUAGUAUUCUUGCCUGGAGAGUUCUGUAGACAGAAGAGUCUAGGGGCUACAGUGCAUGGGGUUGCAAAGGUCAGACAUGUUGCUUCUAUCACUGAUAAAGUCAGAAUAAGGCUGAGUUCUGCAAGGCAGAACUGAUACCACAAUGAUGAGACCUGUGUCCUGGUCUGCAGUGCCAUCCAGAGUUGUGCAAGUUAAAAGACUGAAGGGAAAUGGAACCAGAUCGAUGUUCUUAGGGCUUAGAGGUGUCUGGAGAGUGGCGGUCUGGAUUGGGGUGAGGGGGGUGCUCUGCUGGGCUUCCCUGCUGCUCUUCAAGAGCAGCUUAGAGCUUAGAGGAGUGUGGCAGAUUUCUGCUCACUCCUUCAACCAGAAGUCAUAGGCAGGCAGGAAGGAAAUGCCAUUUGCUAAAAAUCAAAACUGCUUCUGGAUGAGUGACAGUUCUAUACUAGGAUGAUACCUUUCUGAUACUGAACCACUGACCUUGAGAUUUCCCCAUCAGUCCAAACUGACUGUGUGUUAGAUAAUAAAAAUGAAUCUGCGGGGAACUGAAGGAUGCUGCUUGGUUAAAACAACAGUCAUGUACUCCCUCUGCAUUGUCUGGAUUCCAGGAAAUAGGCUACUUCGCUGCUGUCCUCUUUCCUUUGGGGUUAUGCUGUGCGCAUGGUGACCAGCCAUCCUGGAUCGCCCAAGACUGAGAGAUUUCCCAGGCUGUGGCACAUUCAGCGCUUACCAAGAGAGACCCUGGCAAACGGGCUAUCACCCCCCUAGCAUGGGAGAGCCUUAUUCGCUACCCCCUGGGCUAAGCGUUUUGCUUGCUGUUUUAGUCACUAACUGGUGUCUAACUCUUUUGUGACCAUGUGGAUACUGUAGGCUGCCAGGCUCCUCUGUCCAUGGGAUUUCCCGGGCAAGAAUCCUGGAGUGGGUUGCCAUUUCCUUCUCCAGGGGAUCUUCCCAGCCCAGGGAUGGAACCCAUGUCUCCUGUAUUUGCAGGUGGAUUAUUUACCACAGCCACCAGGGAAGUUAAGCAUUUUACCUGAUUUAUUUCAUGCAUCUCCUCUCCUGCCAGACUCUGUGUUUGUUUCCAUUAGUAGCCAGGCCAAAAGAAGUUAGCUAACUUGCCCAACAAAAGGUUAAUGUCAGUUAUCUUUGGGUCAUGAAAUUUUGAGUGAACGUUGCUGUUUUUUUUCUGUUCUGUCUAUAUUGUUUGAAUUUAUUCAAUGAGCACACAUUAUGUAAUAAUAAUAAAAUACCCAAUAAGCUUAUUUUCCUUGUGGAAAAGUAAGUAAUUUACCAAAGUCAUGUGUUUAAUGAGCUGAGUCUGGAACCCUGCUCUGAUGAAUUCUCAAGCCCUUGCUCUUUACAUGGGCAAGACUGGCUUAGAGAAGCAACUCCUUUGUUAUAAGGUCCCUCUGGUUCUUUAAGACAUUUCCAUCUUUAUCCUCACUGACUUAGAACACAUCCUAAGCUGACAUCUCGGUCAUGAAGAAUGUUAGAAUGACUUCGUUGUUUAACAGCUCCUCAACUGGCCUGAGUAGUCUCUUUUGCAGUGAGCAAAUUUCUUUUCAGCUACAAGAUGCCAGAUUGAACAUCUUAUUCUUAGCAUAUUAAAUUAGCACCCUGGGGCAAAUGCUGAUAAAGUUCUCUUUCUCAUGAAUAUGAGAGAGUAUAAGGGAACCCACUGCGGGGCUCCUAAAUUUCUCUGUUUUAUCACCAUUGCUGUCCGUCCCCUGCUGUCUGGAGCAUCUGUCCAGCUCUGGAUGUUGCCUCUGAGGGAGUGAAAUGAGGAGGGUCAGCUGACUAGCCCUGCUAGUGAGGGGGAGGGAGGCUUUGAGCCUAGCUGGGCUGACAUUCUCAGAUUAUUUAGUAAACAGUUGUCUUCUCAGCAGUCCGUGUCUGCCUUAAAUAUAAUUCCAAAUUAAUGGAACUCCUCUUCAUUCUAAAGAAAAUUCCUUUGCUGUUUCCCCUUAUUAGGGACUUCCCUGGUGGCUUGGAGAGUCAGCAAUCCACCUGCAAUGCAGGAAAACUGGGUUUGAUCCCUGGGUCAGGAAGAUCCUCUGGAGAAGGGAAUGGCUAUCCACUCCAGGAUUCUUGCCUGGAGAAUUCCAUGGACAGAGGAGCCUGGUGGGUUAUAGGCCAUAGUCCAUGGGGUUGCAAAGGGUUGGACACCACUGAGCUCCUAACACGUCCCUUUUUUUAGCCUGAAACAUUUAAGAGCACUGGGAAUUUCCUUGCAAUGCCUCUUCCAUUCUGUUUCAUAUUCAUUCAUGGUUUGGUGGGAGGUGUUUGGUACAGUGAUUGAGAUUCUGGAAUCAGACUGCCUGCAUUUGAAUGUGAGCUGUGUGACCUUGGGUAAUUGACUUCAUUCCUCUAGGUGUAAAGAAUCUUAUCUAUAAAAUGGGAUAAUAGGUCAUACCUACCUCAUAGGAUUGUUGUGAAGAUUUAAUACUGUAUGUAAAAUGCCUGCUGCAGAAUAAAUUCUCAAAGCCUAUAUCAGCCAGGAUUUAACCAGGGCAGGCAGAGAUCAUGGGCAGGCUUGACCCCAGGGGCACAGAAUCAGGAAAGGAAGAGCACAAAAAGGCUGGAACCUCACCAACAUGGUCUGCAGCCAUUGCCUCCAGAAUUCCUUCCUUUGAGUAAAAGACUCAUUCCUGCUUUUAUAUCCUUCCAACCGAAAUAGGCAGGCUCACUCCAGGUACUCUCCUCUACUUGAAAGUCAACUGAUUACGAACUGUAAUUACACCUGGAAAAAUCUCUUUACAUCCCUAGCAACUAGAUUAGUGUCUGAUGGAAUAAUUGAUGAUCGCAGCCUAGCCAAGGUAACAUUAGAAAGUCACUCUCUGUUAGCUGUUAUUUUCUGUAUUAGUUUCCUGUGGCCGAUGUCACAAAUUACCACAAACUUAGUGGCUUAAAAAAACAAUGGAAAUUUAUCCUUUUUCAGUUCUGGAGAUCAGAAAUCUGAAACCUGUAUUCACUGGGCAGAAAUCAAAAUGUCAGGAGAGCCACACUCCAUCUAGAGUCUCUAGGGGAGAACCUUGUCUCUUGCAGUUUUUGGUGAUUGCUGGCAUUUUUUGAUUUGUGGCCACGUCAUUCAGUUUCUGCCUCUGAGGUCAUGUUUGCUUUCUUCUCCUCUAUGCGUCCCCUCUCUGUCUGUCUGUCUGUCUGUCUAUAUAUAUAUAUUCUCUAUGGGUAUAUGUGAGGAAUUGGCUUAUGUGAUUAUAGAGGCUCAGUCCCACAGUCUGUUGUCUGUGAGCUGGAGACCCAGAAAAGCAGCCUUGUGGUGCCAUCCAAGUCCAAAGGUCUGAGAACUAGGGGAGCUGAUGGUGUAAGUCCUGGUCCAAGUCCAAGAGCAGGGGAAGACCACUAUCCCCACUUAAUCAGUCAGGCAGAGAGAGUGAAUUCUCCCUUCCUCAACCUUUUGUUCUAUUCAGGCCCUCAGUGAUUUUUUUUAAAAAUUGGGGUAUAGUUGCUUUACAAUAUUGUGUUAGUGUCUGCUGUACAAUGAAAUGAAUCAGCGAUAUGUAUACAUAUAUCCUCUUCCUCCUGAGCCUUCUUCCCACCUACCCCUCCCAUCCCACCUCUCUAGGUGAUCACAGAGAACUGAGAUGAGCUCCCUGGGCUACACAGUAGCUUCCUACUAGUUAUCUACUUUGCACAUGGUAUAAUAUAGAUAACUGGUAGGUAUAUAUAUGUCAUGGUGUAUAUAUGGUAUAUAUAUAUGUGUGUGUGUGUGUGAACCCCAAUCUCCCAAUUCAUCCCACACCCUUCUUCUCUCCUCUGUGUCCACAUAUCAUUCUCUAUAUCUGCAUCUCUAUUCCUGCCUUGUAAAUAGGUUCAUUUGUUCCAAUUUUCUGGGUUCCACAUAUAUGCAUUAAUGUAUGAUAUUUAUUUUUCCCUUUCUGAUUUACUUCACUGUGUUUGAUACCCUUGGUUUCUUAAUAAACUAAAAGUAGAACCACCGUAUGAUUGAGCCAUCCCACUACUUGGCAUAUAUCCUGAGAAAACUAUAAUUCAGAAAGACACAUGCACCCUAAUGUUCACUGCAGCACUUUUUAUAAGGGCCAGGACAUGGAAGCAACUUAGAUAUCCUCAGUCAUUUUUGAUUGGAUGAUGCUCACCCACAGGAAAGCCAUCUGCUUUGCUCAGGCCACUGAUUCAAUACUAAUCUCAUUCAGAUGUGCCCUCACAGGCACAACCAAACCUAAUGUUUAGCCAAAUAUCUGGGCACCUCAUGGCUCAGUCAAACUGACGUAUAAAAUUAACCAUCCCAUGGCCCCUGCCUUAAGGGAGCUACUGGUAGCAGAUGCAGGGUCUGCAGGCACAUGAGCGGAGUCAUACAGGAAGGGGAGCACAUGAGCGGAGUCAUACAGGAAGGGGAGCACAUGAGCGGAGUCAUACAGGAAGGGGAGCACAUGAGUGGAGUCAUACAGGAAGGGGAGCACAUGAGAGGAAUCAUACAGGAAGGGGAACACAUGAGAGGAAUCAUACAGGAAGGGGAGUCAGAGCGCCUCCAGAUGAUCAUCUGUAACAUGUUGCAGGAUUUUCGAGGAGGAAAGGAUCACUCAUAGCUGUGAAGAUCCUUGAGGGUUUCUUGGAGGAAGGAGUGUUUGAAUGAAACCUUAAAGGAUGAUUGUCAAGAGCAGUUGACAUGCAUCAAAAUCACCUGGAAAAUGUAUUAAAACAGAGUGGUUAUGAAAACCUCUAGAGUUUCAUAUUCAGGAGAGCCUGAGUAGGGACUGAGAAUGUGCAUUUGUUAGUAAGUUCCCCAGUGAUGCUGCUGUUGCUAGUCUGGGGACCGCACUUUGAAAACCACUGUCUAGAUGUAUAAAGAUGAUGGCAGUAGGGAAGAGGCCUAUUGUUGUUCAGCUGCUCAGUCAUGCCCUACUCUUUGCGGCCCCAUGGACUGCAGCACUCCAGGCUUCUCUGUCCUUCACUAUCUCCUGGAGUUUGCUCAAACUCAUGUUCAUUGAGUCAGUGAUGUCAUCCAAUUAUCUCAUCCUCUGUUGUCCCCUUCUCUUACUGCCCUUAAUCUUUCCCAGCACCAGGGUCUUUUCCAAUGAGUAGGGUCUUUUCCAAUGAGUUGGCUCUUGACAUCAGGUGGGCAAAGUAUUGGAGCUUCAGCUUCAGCAUCAGUCCUUCCAGUGGAUAUUCAGGACUGAUUUCCUUUAGGAUUGACUGGUUGGAUCUCCUUACAGUCCAAGGGACUCUCAAGACUCUUCUCCAACACCAUUUGAAAAGCAUUGAUUUUUCAGUGUUCAGCCUUCUUUAUGAUCCAAUUCUCAUAUCCAUACAUGACUGCUGGAAAAACCAUAACUCUGACCAUAAAGACCUUUGUCAGCAAAGUCAUGUCUCUGCUCUUUAAUAUGCUGUCUAGGUUGGCCAUAGUUUUUCUUCCAAGGAGUAAGUAUCUUAAUUUCAUGGCUGCAGUCACCAUCUGCAGUGAUUUUGGAGCCCAAGAGAAUAAAGUCUGUCACUGUUUCCACUGCUUCCCCAUCUGUUUGCCAUGAAGUGAUGGGACCAGAUGCCAUGAUCUUAGUUUUUUGAAGAUUGAGUUUUAAACAAGCUUUUUCACUCUCCUCUUUCACUUUCAUUAAGAAGCUCUUUAGUUCCUUUUCAUUUUCUGCCAUAAGGGUGAUGUCACCUGCUUAUCUGAGGUUAUUGACAUUUCUCCUAGCAAUCUUGAUUCCAGCUUGUGCUUCAUCCAGCCUGGCAUUUCACAUGAUGUAGUGUGCAUAUAAGUUAAAUAAGCAGGGUGACAACAUACAGCCUUGUCAUACUCUUUUCCCAACUAGUCCAUUUUUCCAAGUCUAGUUCUAGCUGUUACUUCUUGACCUGCAUGCUUAGUCUCCAGGCAAGAAUGCUGGAGUGGGUUGCCAUGCCCUCCUUCAGGGGAUCUUCCCAAUCCAGGGAUCUAACCUAGAUCUCCCACAUUUCAGGCAGAUUCUUUACCAUCUGAGCCACCAGGGAAGUCUGGAGAGGCCUAUCUCCUCCCCCAAAUUAAUUUAGGUCACAAUUCAGAAGUCAUUUUCUCAGAGACACACUGUUCCAUUAGGAUAUAAGAGAAUUUGUCAGCUGUUUUUCCUCAUAUUUACUUACCAUGACCAUCACAGAAGUGGUUGUCUAUGUCUUCAUGAGUGUAGAAGCUCUAUUUUCUUGCAGCAUUUAAAACAGCACUUGGUGGGGCUUCCCUGGUAGCUCAGAGGUAAAGAAUCUGCCUGCCAAUGCAGGAGACAUGGGUUCGGUCACUGGUCUGGGAAGAUGCUACAUGCUACGGAACAACUUAAGCUCGUACACUGCAGCUACUGAGCCUUUGCUUUAGAGCCCGGGAGUCACAGCUACUGAGCCCAAGUGCUUCCAACAAGAGAAGCUACCGCAAGAGAAGCUUUGGCAGUGCAACAAAGAGUAGCCCCUUCUCUCUGCAACUAGAGAAAAGCCCGCACAGUAAAGAACACCCAGCACAGUACAUGCUCAAUAAAUAAAUAUUUGUUCAGUGAAAGAAGAAAUGAUCUCCCAGGCCCUGUGCAGUUGAAAGUUCUUUACCUCUUCUGACUUUGUCCUACAGCACUUAUCUAGUUACUUCAUCCUGAGAACAAUUCUUUAAAUAGAAUUAAAUUUAAUUAAAUUUAAUUAAAUUAAAUUAAUUAGAUAGGUUGGCUAUUUGAGAGGAAUUUUUCAUUUUUUGAACAAGAUAUUCUGGUUGACACAGCCUAUGCAGAACUUAAGAUGGUUUGGUGUUUCCGUAAGCAGUGGAGAAAUGCCAUACAGUAAUCAGGGUGGCUUAAAUCCAUUUGAUUCUUAAUAUUUCCAUUCUUGAAUAAAUAUUUCAUGCAUUGCUCUUCUGGGAGGCAGAAAGCCAGGAAAUUUCAGCAAUAAUGUGUAUCAAAUUUCUUUUUUCUGUGCAGUAACACAUUUUGAAAGAUAUCUCAACAGGUUAUGACAAGUAGAAUAGGACAAUAUUAUUUUAAUUUCCCUGUGUCAAUUAUUAAAAUUACUGAAAAAUAUACUUAAAUCACACUUUAUCAGUGUGAUCCACUGUAAGGAGAAAGGUUGUGAGAAAGAACUGGACUGGUUUAUCAUAAUUAAGUUUGUGCCCAAAAUGCCAAAACAAAUCAAACGUUGGAUACGUCUGUCUUGUGGUUAUUGGGUACAACUGUGAAAUGGCGGGAAUGGAGCCUGUCCAAAAGUGGCUUGCUGCGUUGUAGCAGGUGGUAAAAUCUAAAGAAAGUUUCCAGCAAAGUUCAUCUUACAGGCUAUGUUCUUAAAAUGUUCCUUCAGAAACAGAUGUCACAUAAUAAGCAGUAAUGAAAACCCUGAACGUGUGGAAGGUCAUCUUGAAUAACUAGAAAUUCAUUUUAGUGAUUAGGUCUGACUACACCCGGGCUCUACUCUUGUUCCUCUCCUUCUAGGCAGGACUCUGGAGGAAGGAAUGGAGUUGGGCAAGGGGGCAGCGUGGUCUAAGUGGAAUGGUACAUUGUCUGCUUGGGACCAUCCCAGUUUUAGCAUCAACCAUCUUGAAUCCUGGGAAAGCCUUUUGUUCUAGACAAACCUGGGUAACUGGUCACCCUGGAACAAGUUGGUUCCCUUGCUGAGUAAUGACACCCUGUUACUAGAGGCAGAAAAGAGAAAGUGAAUAGCCAGUUCCCUGCCUUGAUAAAGAGGUGACUUCUGCGUGGGUUGGGGCAAUAUCUAAUCAGCUUUAGAGGCCAACUGGCUGCAGUCUUCUCAGUCUAUAAAUAAACAAACCUUGCACUGAAGAAGCUAAAUGACUAAUUGCAUUUGUAUAAAAUAGUUUUUGCUUGUGUGGUUUCCUAUCAUAACUUUAAAACAAAGAUGGAUGAACUUAGGAGCUCUUACGCUAUCUAAACAGAUGAUGAUCUUUGCUUUUUAAGAUCAUUGCUAUUUGAUGAAUAAGUCACUCCCCUGCCAAAGAAUUAUAGUUCAUUGGUGUUUUUAAUCUCUAAAUCCAUGCUAAGACUUUUCUCCUUUUGUUGGUAAAAGGAUUAUUUUAAUUGUGUGUGUGUGCAUGUGUGUGCAUGUGAUAGAGAGAAAACAAGUAGUAUAUGAUAGCGUAGUACUUUUUCAAAAAUUUCUUUCAAAUUUUUAUAAUUUAUUAGCUCUACUGUUGAAGGGAUAGGCUACCCACUCCAGUAUUCUUGGGUUUCCUUUGUUGUUCAGCUGGUAAAGAAUCUGCCUGCAAUGCAGGAGACCUGGGUUCAAUCCCUGGGUUGGGAAGAUCCCCUGGAGAAGGGAAAGGGUACCCACUCCAGUAUUCUGGCCUGGAAAUUUCCGUGGUCUGUAGAGUCCAUGGGGUCUCAAAGAGUUGGACUCGACUGAGUGACUUUUGCUUUUACAUCUGAAGCAAAAGCUAAACACGUUUUGUUCUGGAGACAAAGCAGCUGUCAUUUGUGUGUCUGUUCUCCAUCCAGGUUAUGGGUGAUGUGUGGACAUGGAGGAGUCAGAUUGUAGCCUUGCACCCAGUUCACAGGAUGAUAGGAAGGGGAGGUUUUGAGUGAGGGAAGUGAGAAGCACCACAGCCUAGAUGGAGGAUAAAGUUUACUUCUUCCCACCAUCCUAGCUAACAGCAAGUAAGGAACUGGAUUCAAUAGCACAUGGAGGGGGGCGGUCCUAAGAUGGCGGAGGAAUAGGACGGGAAGACCGCUUUCUCCCUUACAAAUUCCUCAAAAGAACAUUUCAACGCCGAGCAAACUCCACAAAACAACUUCUGAAUGCUGUCAGAGGACAUCAGGCAACCAGAAAAGCAGACCAUUGUCUUCGAAAACAGGUAGGAAAAAAUAUAAAAGAUGAAAAGAGAGACAAAGGAGGUGGGGAAAGAGCUCCGUCCUGGGAAGGGAAUUUUAAGAAGAAAGGUUUCCAAACACCAGGAAGCACUCUCCCUGCUGAGUCUGUGGCGAGCAUUGGAAACACAGAGGGCAACAUAACAGGAAGGAAAAAUAAAUAAAUAAUUAAAACCAAGAGAUUACAAGCCCAACAGUAACUCCCCCAGUGGAAAAGCAGCACAGACGCCUGCAUCCGCCAUUGGGAAGUGGGGGCAGGGCAGGGACGCGCGGGAGGCGCCGGCUGCAGAGCUUUGUAAGAAUCGGGCAGGAACGCCCCACGUGCAACCAGAACGAUCUAACUUGGGCUAGCAAACCAGACUGUGGGAUAGCUACCACGCAAAAAGCUCGAACAUAAGACCCCGCCAGGACCACGCACAGAACAAAGGACGGAUCGGAAAUAGCUGGCUGCAGACCAUCCCCCACUGGGGACAGGCAGCCAGAGCUGUAAGGACUGGAAAAGGGCAAUUGCAGCCCUGGAGAGACUUUACCUACCAAACCGCAAGCAGGCUUCUUUGCUAAGACUUCUGGGGGUGCUCGACAGUCACCAUCUGCCUCACAAGGGGCACCAGCAGUACACCCAGAAAACUGAGCAGCAGAGACAGAAAAGGCGACAAGUCGCAGCGACCGCGCUCGCCAAACUCCUGAGCUACUCGGACCUGGGAAGGGCACAAAACACAGUUCCAACUGAAUCUGAGCCUUUGAGGGCUACCUGAGCGCCAAACCUGAGUGGCUUAGACCGGGGAGGUGCACGCAGCCUAGAGCCGGCCUCAGACGGUUCCUGGCUGAGCAUCGCAGAACCGGAGCGGUUUGUGCCCCACGAGAAGGGACAGGUCCAGAGGGGCUGAGACACUGUGUGCACAUGACAGUGCUAUUUGUUUGCAGCAUCCCUCCCUCCCCACAGCGCGACUGAACUAGUGAGCCUAAAAAACCAGCAAACAGAAGAAGUUAAACAGGGAACCGCCUUGGAAGUGACCCCACAUGGCCCACAACAUCAGAGAAGGGCUAGAUAUAUCUUUACUAUUUUUACAAUCAUUCCUUUUUUUUU